rnacentral:rRNA from 1 species
AUUGAACGCUGGCGGCAGGCUUAACACAUGCAAGUCGAGCGGAGAUGAGGUGCUUGCACCUUAUCUUAGCGGCGGACGGGUGAGUAAUGCUUAGGAAUCUGCCUAUUAGUGGGGGACAACAUUCCGAAAGGAAUGCUAAUACCGCAUACGUCCUACGGGAGAAAGCAGGGGAUCUUCGGACCUUGCGCUAAUAGAUGAGCCUAAGUCGGAUUAGCUAGUUGGUGGGGUAAAGGCCUACCAAGGCGACGAUCUGUAGCGGGUCUGAGAGGAUGAUCCGCCACACUGGGACUGGGACACGGCCCAGACGCCUACGGGAGGCGGCAGUGGGGAAUAUUGGACAAUGGGGGGAACCCCGAUCCAGCCAUGCCGCGUGUGUGAAGAAGGCCUUAUGGUUGUAAAGCACUUUAAGCGAGGAGGAGGCUACUGAGACUAAUACUCUUGGAUAGUGGACGUUACUCGCAGAAUAAGCACCGGCUAACUCUGUGCCAGCCGCCGCCGUAAGAC